CCUACGGGAGGCAGCAGUGGGGAAUAUUGCACAAUGGGCGAAACCCUGAUCCAGCGACGCCGCGUGAGGGAAGAAGUCAUUCGUUAUGUAAAGCUCUAUCAUCAGGGAAGAAAAUGACGGUACCUGAGGAAGAAUCCCCGGCUAACUACGUGCCAGCAGCCGCGGUAAUACGUCGGGGGCAAGCGUUAUCCGGAUUUACUGGGUGUAAAGGGGGCGUAGACGGCAGUGCAAGUCUGGAGUGAAAGGCGGGGGCUCAACCCUCGGACUGCUUUGGAAACUGUACGGCUGGAGUGCAGGAGAGGUAAGUGGAAUUCCUAGUGUAGCGGUGAAAUGCGUAGAUAUUAGGAGGAACACCAGUGGCGAAGGCGGCUUACUGGACUGUAACUGACGUUGAGGCUCGAAAGCGUGGGGAGCAAACAGGAUUAGAUACCCCUGUAGUC
rnacentral:rRNA from 1 species